GAGUUUGAUCUUGGCUCAGGAUGAACGCUAGCGACAGGCUUAACACAUGCAAGUCGAGGGGCAGCAUGAACUUAGCUUGCUAAGUUUGAUGGCGACCGGCGCACGGGUGAGUAACGCGUAUGCAACUUACCUAUCAGAGGAGAAUAGCUCAUCGAAAGAUGAAUUAAUGCUCCAUAAAACAGGGGUCCCGCAUGGGAAUAUUUGUUAAAGAUUCAUCGCUGAUAGAUAGGCAUGCGUUCCAUUAGGCAGUUGGC
rnacentral:rRNA from 1 species